AUUGAACGCUGGCGGCAUGCUUUACACAUGCAAGUCGAACGGUAACAGGGUGCUUGCACCGCUGACGAGUGGCGAACGGGCGAGUAAUGCGUCGGAACGUGCCGAGUAGUGGGGGAUAACGCAGCGAAAGUUGUGCUAAUACCGCAUACGUACUGAGGUAGAAAGUGGGGGACCUUCGGGCCUCACGCUAUUCGAGCGGCCGACGUCUGAUUAGCUAGUAGGUGAGGUAAAGGCUCACCUAGGCGACGAUCAGUAGCGGGUCUGAGAGGAUGAUCCGCCACACUGGGACUGAGACACGGCCCAGACUCCUACGGGAGGCAGCAGUGGGGAAUUUUGGACAAUGGGCGAAAGCCUGAUCCAGCCAUGCCGCAUGUCUGAAGAAGGCCUUCGGGUUGUAAAGGACUUUUGUCAGGGAGGAAAUCCCUAGUGCUAAUAACACUGGGGGAUGACAGUACCUGAAGAAUAAGCACCGGCUAACUACGUGCCAGCCGCCGCGGUAA
rnacentral:rRNA from 1 species